GGCCUACCAUGGUGGUAACGGGUAACGGGGUGUUAGGGCACGACACCGGAGAGGGAGCUGAGAAACGGCUACCACAUCCAAGGAUGGCAGCAGGCGCGCAAAUUACCCAAUCCCGACACGGGGAGGUAGUGACAAUAAAUAACAAUACGGGGUUCUUUAGGAUUUCGUAAUUGGAAUGAGUACAAUUUAAAUCUCUUAACGAGGAACAAUUGGAGGGCAAGUCUGGUGCCAGCAGCCGCGGUAAUUCCAGCUCCAAUAGCGUAUAUUAAAGUUGUUGCAGUUAAAAAGCUCGUAGUUGAAUUUCGGGAUCAAUAUGUUGGUCGUGCCUCGGUACGUACUAGCAUAUUGGUUUCUCCUUUCUGAAGAACCAUGAUGUCAUUUAUUUGGUGUCGUGGGGAAUCAGGACUGUUACUUUGAAAAAAUUAGAGUGUUUAAAGCAGGCUCACGCUUGAAUACAUUAGCAUGGAAUAAUGAAAUAGGACGUUUGAUUCUAUUUUGUUGGUUUCUAGGAUCGACGUAAUGAUUAAUAGGGAUAGUUGGGGGCAUUAGUAUUCAAUUGUCAGAGGUGAAAUUCUUGGAUUUAUUGAAGACUAACUACUGCGAAAGCAUUUGCCAAGGAUGUUUUCAUUAAUCAAGAACGAAAGUUAGGGGAUCGAAGACGAUCAGAUACCGUCGUAGUCUUAACCAUAAACUAUGCCGACUAGGGAUCGGAUGAUGUUAAUUUUUUAAUGACUCAUUCGGCGCCUUACGGGAAACCAAAGUGUUUGGGUUC
rnacentral:rRNA from 1 species